rnacentral:rRNA from 1 species
CGUCGAUGAAGAGUGCAGCCAACUGUGUGAAUUAAUGUGAACUGCAUAUUGCUUUGAACAUCGACAUCUUGAACGCAUAUUGCGGCUACGGGAUAUCCUGUGGCUACGUCUGGCCGAGGGUCG